rnacentral:rRNA from 1 species
UAAGGAAUAUUGGUCAAUGGGCGAAAGCCUGACCCAGCAACGCCGCGUGAGGGAUGAAGUAUUUCGGUAUGUAAACCUCGAAAGAAUGGGAAGAAUAAAUGACGGUACCAUUUAUAAGCUCCGGCUAACUACGUGCCAGCAGCCGCGGUAAUACGUAGGGAGCAAGCGUUGUUCGGAUUUACUGGGCGUAAAGGGCGCGUAGGCGGCGCGGUAAGUCACUUGUGAAAUCUCUGAGCUUAACUCAGAACGGCCAAGUGAUACUGCUGUGAUACAGUGCGGAAGAGGCAACCGGAAUUCUUGGUGUAGCGGUGAAAUGCGUAGAUAUCAAGAGGCACACCGGAGGCGAAGGCGGGUUGCUGGGCCGACACUGACGCUGAUGCGCGAAAGCCAGGGGAGCAAACG